CUCAGGAUGAACGCGGGCGGCGUGCCUAAUACAUGCAAGUCGAGCGAACAGACGAGGAGCUUGCUCCUCUGACGUAGCGGCGGACGGGUGAGUAACACGUGGAUAACCUACCUAUAAGACUGGGAUAACUUCGGGAAACCGGAGCUAAUACCGGAUAACAUGUUGAACCGCAUGGUUCAACAGUGAAAGACGGUCUUGCUGUCACUUAUAGAUGGAUCCGCGCCGCAUUAGCUAGUUGGUAAGGUAACGGCUUACCAAGGCAACGAUGCGUAGCCGACCUGAGAGGGUGAUCGGCCACACUGGAACUGAGACACGGUCCAGACUCCUACGGGAGGCAGCAGUAGGGAAUCUUCCGCAAUGGGCGAAAGCCUGACGGAGCAACGCCGCGUGAGUGAAGAAGGUCUUCGGAUCGUAAAACUCUGUUAUUAGGGAAGAACAAAUGUGUAAGUAACUAUGCACGUCUUGACGGUACCUAAUCAGAAAGCCACGGCUAACUACGUGCCAGCAGCCGCGGUAAUACGUAGGUGGCAAGCGUUAUCCGGAAUUAUUGGGCGUAAAGCGCGCGUAGGCGGUUUUUUAAGUCUGAUGUGAAAGCCCACGGCUCAACCGUGGAGGGUCAUUGGAAACUGGAAAACUUGAGUGCAGAAGAGGAAAGUGGAAUUCCAUGUGUAGCGGUGAAAUGCGCAGAGAUAUGGAGGAACACCAGUGGCGAAGGCGACUUUCUGGUCUGUAACUGACGCUGAUGUGCGAAAGCGUGGGGAUCAAACAGGAUUAGAUACCCUGGUAGUCCACGCCGUAAACGAUGAGUGCUAAGUGUUAGGGGGUUUCCGCCCCUUAGUGCUGCAGCUAACGCAUUAAGCACUCCGCCUGGGAGACACCGAGUUGG
rnacentral:rRNA from 2 species